GCUGGCGGCGUGCCUUAAUACAUGCAAUUCGAGCGCGGGAAGCUGACGGAAUCCUUCGGGAGGACGUGAGUGGAACGAGCGGCGGACGGUUGAGUAACACGUGGGCAACCUGCCUGUAAGACUGGGAUAACUCCGGGAAACCGGGGCUAAUACCGGAUAGUACUUUGGUUCAUAGGAACCGAAGUGGAAAGGUGGCGCAAGCUACCACUUACAGAUGGGCCCGCGGUGCAUUAGCUAGUUGGUGAGGUAACGGCUCACCAAGGCAACGAUGCAUAGCCGACCUGAGAGGGUGAUCGGCCACACCGGGACUGAGACACGGCCCAGACUCCUACGGGAGGCAGCAGUAGGGAAUCUUCCGCAAUGGACGAAACUCUGACGGAGCAACGCCGCGUGAACGAAGAAGGUUUUCGGAUCGUAAAGUUCUGUUGUCAGGGAAGAACAAGUACCGUUCGAAUAGGGCGGUACCUGGACGGUACCUAUACGAGGAGCCCCGGCA
rnacentral:rRNA from 1 species